ensembl:lncRNA
CACAUGGAAAAAUACCUGCUUGGUUCAUGUGGAGUUUUCAGAGUGGAAGGAAACAGAGAGCGAGAGAAAAAAAAAAAAAAAAAGAAAAAAAGAAAAAAAAAAUAGAAGAAGAAAAAGCCAAAUGAAGUAUGGCUCAAACUGGGAAAGAGCUCUGAAAAUCAGAAGUUCAUUUUGUGCAGCAUGUGCAGACACACACACCAAAUUGCACAGAAUUUUUGCUGAUUCUGGAGACCCCACCAGUUAUGGAAUCGUGGAAUCGUCUGAGUUGGAUGGGACCUUUGAAGGUCACUCUAAACCACUGGUUCAGAGGCUGUGGACCUUUUUUAGUGACAAUACAAGGCAAGUGGCAGAAGAUCUCUAUUAUCUCUUAUGGAGAAUAUCUACAGAUUUCUAAGUCUGAAAUAAGAGCUCUGCUCCAAGUACCCAUUGAGGACAGCUUACCAGUACAAGAGCUAAUGGUGUCUUUUGGAGGGAUCUCCUAGCAGGGUCACCAGUGGAUGAAGAGGACAUGUAAGAGAAAUGUAGCUUGAAUAAAACACAAAAGACCUUCAUCUCACUUCGCCCUCUCCAGGUACUGGAACCCCGACCGGCUCAGCCAAAUCAGGGUAAAAUAAAAAGAUGUGGAUUUAGGGCAGUUGUUUUGCUGAGAGAUCUGAAUCCUUGUAUUAUUAAGGGAAGAGCAACAAAGUGUUAAAGGUAUGUACAAAAUCUGUGUGCCAUCUGUGUCUGUCAUGUAGAUGCUGAAGAGCUAAACUAUAGACAAAAUCUUAGAGCAACAGCCCUCGGUAGAGGGGAUUUUAAGGUCUCGUAACUCACUCAGGCUGGAUGUAUAGCUGGUGUCCAGACAGCACUUCUCCAGUGUUGUGACAGCAAGCUCAGGUGACGAUGAGCUGUCCUUGGACUCCAGAGGCUUCAGGUCACUCAUAUCAUUUUAGUCAGUAAUCAGUGGAGUUCAGUUAGAGAAAACUACCUACUGAUUUUCUUUCUAUCUUUUCAGCCUAUUUUUUUCAAUUAAUCCUUUUUAUUGAAAAAGAGAAGAUCAAAUAGGAAAAUGUUUUGCAAAUAUCUGGAUUCAGCUUAUGAUCUUCAUGAUUUCUUGUGUUUGCUCACACUGAAGAUGUGAGUUGUUUGCACAUUGGGUUCACACAUUUACAUCUCAACUUAAUGCUUAUGAAAUUCAACACACUGUGAAAUUUGCAGAGGUCUAUGCCACUGAAAUUUUAAGUUAUAAUAUUUCAAUUACCUCUGGCUCUGUCGAAAGUGGAGGUUAAAUAAAAGGUUAAACCAAAAAUUUUGCUCUCCUAACAAAAUGGCAUUGAACUGGGCAGACUGUUAGAAUCUUCUAAAAAAUACGCCCCUCUCUCUCACUCCCACUCAUUCUCUUCUAAUUCAUUUCAUUUGUAGUUCACUGCAGAUAUAAGUUCAUUUCUGGUUCAAAAGUUUUAGAAGAAAAUUUAAGGUGAUACUUUAAGUGCUGAUUACUUUAGGGUUCAGGAAAGUUAGGAACACAUUUUUCAGUAUGAACAGAUGAGUGAGGCAAGAAGGAAAGCUCAUAACAAAGGAAGUCUCUAUGCUCUUCUUUGCAUUAAGUGAUUGGUCAUUUCAAAUAUUUGCUAAUUUAUUGGUUUCCUCAAAGGUGAAUGAGUAUAAACUGAUAUAAGAAUCCCUUCAAACCAGUUUGAGCAAUUAUCUGCUGCUUACUGGAAGAUCUUUCCCAAUGAAAUCUUCAGAAUUCACGUACCCAUGAACUUUUAUUUUUAAGCAUUGUUUCUUUACGAUCAUAAAUGAAAUGUGGGUUUAACCACAAAAGCAGUUAGGAAAUUAAUUUAUAAUGACCUUUCACUGCCCCAGUGGAGAGUGUAACAAUAACAUUAUUGGAAAUGAUCGUUCCAGUUUUCUUAGAAGUUAUCUUAACACUCCAGUUUUUGAAGAAUGUGAUGUUUAUUCAAACAUUGCUUCCUACUGGGAGAAGAAAGUUUUUUCCAAGAACUAUGCUAUUGAAUGAUAAAAUUGCAUGAAUGGUAUGACCCCCCAAAAGGCACAUUUCUAACACUUUGGUUACAGUUACUCUUCCCUAUCACCAGUGCUACGCUUCAGUUAGAUUUAGAGUGUUUAGACAUUUCUGAGUGCUCCUGCACUGAAGUCAACUUUACCAUGACUUAGACAGAUCUAAUUAAAGCCAAAGCUUUGUGCUUGCUACAGUGGAUCAUGCCUGUCUAUACCGAGCUUUUCAAACAUUUCAGACACAGCUUUUUAACAAAUGUCACCUAACAAAAUGCCAUAGAUCUUUUCCAGUCAGCUUCUCUGAGAUUGCAGUUUGCCAGGCAAAUUGUUCAGAAGUGUCCUACAAUGUUGUGCAACUGCAGAUUCUGUGCCUGCAGCUGAGGUUUGUUCAGUGGUGCAAGCUCUGAGUGCAGAGCAGUUCAUGUUGUCACCAAGAGCUUGCUUUGCAUUGUAUUGGGUGCAGUUUUCCUCUGAUUCUGGACAGAUUUUUGGCAGUAUCCCUUCUUCCCUCUGCCUAUCCUGUUAAUGUUCAGGCUGAACUGCCUCAUACUAUGUUUAGCCUGUAAGCAAACUUGAAACAAAAUCUCAAUAACUCUCACCCCUUGCUCUGGCAUCUGGGUGUCUUACGAGACCUGUCAUGAGAUGCCCAGGGUCUCAGCCCCCGUGAGGUUCCUUUUGCUGCCUGCAGCUCUCCCAGUCAUCUGAUGAAGGAUGAUUUAAUCAUUUCAGAAAGGCUAAGCAAAAAGGUGUGUCACUUUUUCACUUCUCUGCUCACUUCUCAGUGCCACAAUUCAAAGGGCAGUUCCUGGCCCCAAGACAUUACUUAUUAUUUUUUUUUAAUACAAAGUAGCACUUCCAAAUGUAUAUUUUUCCUAGGUAUCCCCUCUGCUUUCUGUCUGUCUGGAAUUUUUCUUUUAGAAAAACAAUGUCACAUUGAAUCAGAAAGGUCUUUUUGAGUGUAAGUCUCUAGACUCACUCAAUUCCUCUUUCCCUUGGCUUAUUUCUCAGAAAAUAAAUCUUUUCUUUCAUAUGAGAUUUAUUUCAUUAUCAUUCUGGAUAGAGCAACAUUUGUUUAUAGUUUUAACAAAAUAAUGGUACUCUCAGUUUUUGCAUUCUGGAACUUUGGAUUAUUUGAUAUGACAGUUAUUAAUUAUGCUAAGCAUAAUCAAAUAUUGAUCUUCACAUUGAAGAAAGCCCAAUGCUAUGUGAUGUGAGCCAUAACAAUAGUUUUAAUUUCUGAAGAUUUCCUUAAAAUAUGUAUACAUAUGUAUAUAUAUACCCCUAUGAUUAUUAAUAAAAAUAACACACUAUAUAGUUUAUAAGUUACUCACAGCUUACUGACUGUCCUUAAUGUAACAAAGCCCUAUUCCAACAACAUUUUUUCUGUAAAAUAAAUCACAGCUAUUGCAAAAUAAACUAAUAAUCUAUAUUCUGAUAUAAACCAGAUCCUUCAGUGAUAUAAAUGGAGGCAAUUAAUAGUAGUUAAGGAUCUGACUCCUUCUCUUUAAUUAGGAUUUACUUAGAAUUCACCUGGAAAAUUCUUUAAUAGCCCUUUCUUCCCAAUAAGGAAGACUGUAGUGGAAUUUUAAUGGCUCCAUUAUGUUAACAAAACACGAUAUGAUUACAGUGAUGAUGGGAAUUUGGCUGUACUGCUUGGAAAACAUCUGGUUUAAAAUAAAUAUGCAAAUUUCUUCAUAUAUGUGUUAAUCUGUCAAGUCCAAAGAAUGUCAAAUUUUAGUGAGACCAAACUUUUCAAAUGUAGUAAGCAAAUAGUAGUGGUUGGCAGCAAUUUAGGUUUACAUAGCAUAGAUCUAUUCAUCAUAUUUACUUUGAAAGUUGUU